UAGGGAAUCUUCCGCAAUGGACGCAAGUCUGACGGAGCAACGCCGCGUGAGUGAAGAAGGAUUUCGGUUCGUAAAACUCUGUUGUUAGAGAAGAACAGCGCAUAGAGUAACUGUUAUGCGUGUGACGGUAUCUAACCAGAAAGCCACGGCUAACUACGUGCCAGCAGCCGCGGUAAUACGUAGGUGGCAAGCGUUGUCCGGAUUUAUUGGGCGUAAAGCGAGCGCAGGCGGUCAAUUAAGUCUGAUGUGAAAGCCCCCGGCUCAACCGGGGAGGGUCAUUGGAAACUGGUUGACUUGAGUGCAGAAGAGGAGAGUGGAAUUCCAUGUGUAGCGGUGAAAUGCGUAGAUAUAUGGAGGAACACCAGUGGCGAAGGCGACUCUCUGGUCUGUACUGACGCUGAGGCUCGAAAGCGUGGGUAGCAAACAGG
rnacentral:rRNA from 1 species